rnacentral:lncRNA from 1 species
CUCCUGGGAAAUCCAGAAACUCUAGAGAAGCUUGUUUGCCAAACCUUGCUUUGGGCGGUGGAGACAGAAUAUCAUGUCCCAGAUCAGCGUGUGGUGACUGUGGAGGCAUUUACACACAGCACACUCCAGCUCUGCCACUGGGCCGGCUGAGGUGGCUGCGGUACACGGCGCCCAUCCUGAGCCCCAGGUUCCUCACAUGUCAACAGCAUGAAAAGUGCCUCUAAGACAUCCACAGGUGUGCAGUGUUAAAGCAGGUAAGAUGGAUUCACAUCUGCUGGGUGCACGAACACUUCCUCCUUCCUUGCCACCAGCCAGCAUCACAACCAGCCUGGCCAGGCUCCCGUCCCAGCCCAGCCUAGCAGCUAACCCCAGCUCCAUCCCCCAGCAAGCCCCUCUGCCUGCACCUCAGCUUCUUCAUGGAAGACGAGUCAGGUCAUGAUGCCACCAGGGAGCGUGUUUCCAUGUUGAACUGAGACACUAAGCCCUUGACAAAUGUUGGCCAAGAAAAAAAAGGGGCUCCAAGAGGGGAGCUGUGGCUCAGGUAGAAGACGGUGAAUGAGCAUUGCCUGAAUCAGAGUUAGCUACUCUGGUUACACAGGUGUCCCCGGCAGGUUGGUCAAAAGCCCUUCCCUGAGUCCCGUGAUAAGUGUGGGGAGGGAGGCAAAUCAAAGACCCCUACACACCUCCUGCAUGGAUGGCCAGAGCGCUGGUCCCACCUCCUUCCUUCCAAACUGCAACCCCGAUCAGCACAGCAGAGAAGUCUCCUGUGGCAGGGACCAGUAAUUCAGUGCUUCCCCUGGAGAGUCUGGGAUUGCACAGAACACCAGAGGCUGGGGAUUUAUUUGUUCACCAACAUUCAUUCAACAAACACUUACUGAGGCCAACACUGGGAAUGGAGACGAACUUCCCUGUCCUCAUGGAGCUUGCUUUCAAAAGGGAAGGAGGCAGACAGUAAACAAAACAAGCAAGUCAAUAUACAGCAUGAUGCAGAAAAGGUGUGAUGCCACCCUCUUGCCUGAGUUUAUAACAAGCAGAUGAUGUUGUCCUAAGAAUUAAUUUCAGCCGGUGAAAGAGUACAGGCAAAAAACGUGGUCUCGGACUUUCCGGUGAUGCUUAAGAACAUAGUUGCAGUUUUUGUUCUGAUUCUUUGUGCAUCUCGCGCUAAUGAAGGAUUCUGCCAUGAUUGCCACCUCUGGAGACGUCACAGCCAGCACAGCCAUGACCAGGGAUGAACUUGGCCAUUGUCCAGCAGCACCAUGGGAGGACCAGCUGCUGUAAGUGAAGGUCAUCAUCCAUCUGAUUUGCUGGCUUUUUGCAACUACUGCGGUGGAAGUCUUAGAGUAGCCACCUUCUCUGUACUCAGACCUUCACUUCGCCAGAUGUCAGCACAGCAGUGUCAGCAGCUUCGUCAAACACAAACACCACCACCUCUCUGGAUCAGAAGCACAUGGAAAGCCCACCUUGCAAGAAGACCCAGCUAUUCCAAAAGUACCCAUAUCCCUGUAGCAUCCUCUUAGCUGAAUGUCUCUACUCCUUAAACUUGUACCACUUUGAAGAGUAAAAAUUUAAAUUCAUUCAUAUUAUCAUUUUUUAGUUUUUAGUAUAAGUGGAGCUGUUUAUCGGCCAUUUGUAUGUCCUUUUCUUUUUUUUGCAAAUUACUCCUUUGCCAAAUUUUCUCUCAAAUGACUCAUCUUUUUCUUAUUGAUUUGCAGAAGCUAUUUACAUAUUAUGGAUGUGGGGUGUCUAACAUACACAGCAAAUACUUUGUCCCAGUGUGUCACUUUUUAAAAAAAUUCUUAUAAUGUCUUUCAUCUUUAAAAAAUUAUUAAGCUAUUGUGAGCUUUUAUGCCUUUUCAGUUUAUUUUCUUACAUAGAUAAUUAUAUGAAGUGCAAAUAGGGGCAGUGUUAGUCUCAUCUUCCCAAGGCUGCACCUCAGAUGUGGAAUGUUGACAGCAACAUCUGUUACCUUGUUUCUGUUUUUAGGAUUUUAGCGUUAAGGCCAGGCAUAAUGGUUCAUGCCUGUAAUUCCAGCACUUUGGGAGGCCGAGGUGGGCAGAUCACUUGAAGCCAGGAGUUCAAGACCAGCCUGGCCAACAUGGAGAAACCCUCUCUAUUUUUAAAUACAUUUAAAAUGUUAACAAUUAAAACAAAAUAUUUUACCGUUAGUAUGAUGCUUGAUACAGGAUUUCUGGUACAUACGCCUUAUCAAAUUAAAUAAGUUUCCUUUUACUCUUGUUUAUUGUUAUUUUUUAAAAUAAGGAAUGAAUCUUGGAUUUUAGUGUAUCAAUAAUUAUAUUUUAUUCUUUAACUUCAUAAUAUUCCUUAUAAUUCCUUAUGUCAUAUUAAAGAUGUAAAUUCAUAUAUAUUUUAUCAUACAAAUGAUUAAUAAAUGUAUAAGCAUGUCAUUAUAUGAGAGUAUACUUCCUUAUGUUUCAUGAAUGCAUCGUGACAGGCUCAUUUUUUUAAUCACUGCUCGAUUUGUGCCACUGAUGUUUUAUG